GCAUAUUUAAUCUUUUAACAUAAUUAUGUGAUUUGAUUAAUUAAAAUUUGAUUGACAUGCCUGACAACACAGGGAGAAAUUGCAGAGAAUUUAAUUCGCAAGCACUAUAUUUGACCCUGUAACUCUCCAAGAAACCAUAAAACCUGUACAUAGGGGCUACUGGUUUACUAGGGAGACUUCGCUGAACUCAAAUAUUAGUGUUUCAAACUGGUAAAUUGUAUUACAACUAUAUUUUAAGUAAAAGUGAAGUGUUUUGCAUUUUUUACAAACAAACUGCACUUUUAUGGACUAUAUUAUUGUUGUAAUAUGUUUUACAACACUAAUAUGUGUUUAGUGAAGUCUCCCAAAAACAACAAUACCCCCCAUGUACAGGUUUUAUUGUGUUUUGGAAAGUUAUAGAGUCACAUAUAAGGCUUG